CCUACGGGUGGCAGCAGUGAGGAAUAUUGGUCAAUGGACGAGAGUCUGAACCAGCCAAGUAGCGUGAAGGAUGACUGCCCUAUGGGUUGUAAACUUCUUUUAUAUGGGAAUAAAAUGUUCCACGUGUGGGACUUUGUAUGUAUCAUAUGAAUAAGGAUCGGCUAACUUCGUGUCAGCAGCCGCGGUAAUACGGAGGAUCCGAGCGUUAUCCGGAUGUAUUGGGUUUAAAGGGAGCGUAGGUGGAUUGUUAAGUCAGUUGUGAAAGUUUGCGGCUCAACCGUAAAAUUGCAGUUGAAACUGGCAGUCUUGAGUGCAGUAGGGGUGGGCGGAAUUCGUGGUGUAGCGGUGAAAUGCUUAGAUAUCACGAAGAACUCCGAUUGCGAAGGCAGUUGACUGGACUGCAACUGACACUGAGGCUCGAAAGUGUGGGUAUCAAACAGGAUUAGAUAUCCUUGUAGUC
rnacentral:rRNA from 1 species